rnacentral:rRNA from 1 species
UAGGGAAUCUUCGGCAAUGGGGGGAACCCUGACCGAGCAACGCCGCGUGAGUGAAGAAGGUUUUCGGAUCGUAAAGCUCUGUUGUUAAGGAAGAACGAGUGUGAGAAUGGAAAGUUCAUACUGUGACGGUACUUAACCAGAAAGGGACGGCUAACUACGUGCCAGCAGCCGCGGUAAUACGUAGGUGGCAAGCGUUGUCCGGAUUUAUUGGGCGUAAAGCGAGCGCAGGCGGUCAAUUAAGUCUGAUGUGAAAGCCCCCGGCUCAACCGGGGAGGGUCAUUGGAAACUGGUUGACUUGAGUGCAGAAGAGGAGAGUGGAAUUCCAUGUGUAGCGGUGAAAUGCGUAGAUAUAUGGAGGAACACCAGUGGCGAAGGCGACUCUCUGGUCUGUAACUGACGCUGAGGUUCGAAAGCGUGGGUAGCAAACAGG